rnacentral:rRNA from 1 species
AGCGCAGGCGGGAAGACAAGUUGGAAGUGAAAACCAUGGGCUCAACCCAUGAAUUGCUUUCAAAACCGUUUUUCUUGAGUAGUGCAGAGGUAGAUGGAAUUCCCGGUGUAGCGGUGGAAUGCGUAGAUAUCGGGAGGAACACCAGUGGCGAAGGCGGUCUACUGGGCACCAACUGACGCUGAGGCUCGAAAGCAUGGGUAGCAAACA